CCUCCCCGAGGGUAAGCAUUCUCUCUGAAUGGGCAAACUGGAUGAGUCGCUGUCAUAGAAUGUUGUUUGACUGACCAUGGGCCUGGUAUUUUUCGCCACCAGAUGACAUUCACCAAUGUUGGUGUACCUUCGACAGAUGCAUUUGAAGAUGAGGAUGAAGCUGUUUGUUCCAGAACCAGCUGUGCAAGGUGUGCUGGUUCCACCCCACCAGGAAGGAAAGCUACCACAACUUGUUAAAGCUGCCAUCCAUCGAGGUGAGAAAGCAAACAAACCACAUUGGCUGAAGCUCUUAUAUAACCUUAUUUUACUUGUCAUUUUCACAACACAUUCAUCUCACAAGGCCCUGUAAGCAUGUUUUGAAAUAGUUUUGCAAACUUGUAAUUCAAUACACAAUUGUAAAAGAUAUACAACACUAAUAAAAAGGCAGUUUGUACAUUUGUUUAAUUAUUUAUUUUAGGACAAUUCUGUAAAAAAAAAAGAGAAUGUUUUCACAGUCCAUGUACAGGUUGUCUGUUUGUUUAAAAAUAAUAAUAAAAAAUAUGUCUGAAAUUCUGUUGCUGUAAUACAUUAUGUACAUUGAUUUUGUUUAACUAAAUACAUUGAUAAUAUUACCACCCUGUUGGA
ensembl:lncRNA